UACGGGGGGAGCAAGCGUUGUUCGGAUUUACUGGGCGUAAAGGGCGCGUAGGCGGCCACCGCAAGUCGGUUGUGAAAUCUCCGGGCUUAACCCGGAACGGUCAAUCGAUACUGCGGGGCUAGAGUGCAGAAGGGGCAACUGGAAUUCUCGGUGUAGCGGUGAAAUGCGUAGAUAUCGAGAGGAACACCAGUGGCGAAGGCGAGUCCCUGGACAAUACCUGACACUGAGGCACGAAAGCUAGGGGAGCAAACAGG
rnacentral:rRNA from 1 species